rnacentral:rRNA from 1 species
AGUGAACGCUGGCGGUAGGCCUAACACAUGCAAGUCGAACGGCAGCACAGUAAGAGCUUGCUCUUACGGGUGGCGAGUGGCGGACGGGUGAGGAAUACAUCGGAAUCUACUUUUUCGUGGGGGAUAACGUAGGGAAACUUACGCUAAUACCUCAUACUACCUACGGGUGAAAGCAGGGGAUCUUCGGACCUUGCGCGAUUGAAUGAGCCGAUGUCGGAUUAGCUAGUUGGCGGGGUAAAGGCCCACCAAGGCGACGAUCCGUAGCUGGUCUGAGUGGAUGAUCAGCCACACUGGAACUGAGACACGGUCCAGACUCCUACGGGAGGCACCAGUGGGGAAUAUUGGCCAAUGGGCGCAAGCCUGAUCCAGCCAUACCGCGUGGGUGAAGAAGGCCUUCGGGUUGUAAAGCCCUUUUGUUGGGAAAGAAAAGCAGCAGGUUAAUACCCCGCUGUUCUGACGGUACCCAAAGAAUAAGCACCGGCUAACUUCGUG